rnacentral:tRNA from 1 species
ACCCUGGGGGUCCAGUGGUUAAGACUCUGCUCUUCCAAUGCAGGGGACACAGGUUCAACUCCUAGUCAGGGAA